rnacentral:misc_RNA from 1 species
UUUUAAUAAAAUUUAUCAUAUAUAAUUUAUCUAUUAAAAUUUUAAAACAUAUUAUAUGUGUUUUAUUUAACAUGAAUAAACUUUACCUUUUCAUUAAGUUAGUAAUUUUUUAUAAUUAAUUAUUUUUUAAAAAAUAUUAAUUUAAAAAAAUUUCAUUGUAAAAUUUUAAAUUAUUUUAUUUUCUGUAGAAUAAUUAUUUUUAUUUAUAGUAAAGCCAGGUACUUCGAUAAACUUAGUAUCCAAAUUGCUCUUAUUUUAACAUUAUAAAUGUAACGACCCAGCCCAGCCCAGUCAGUAUUGUCCGCUUUGGCCCGUGGGCCUCACGGAUUUGUCCCUUGGGAGGUUUCGCUCCCAAAAGCGCGCUGACCAGUUUAGGCUGACCCCCACAUAUAUGGCCCAGAUUCCCUUCUCCCAUUUCCGAUGUGGGACGGGCGGCACCUGCAGGCGUUACGUAUCGCCGUCCCCACAGUCCGUUACAACCCACCAA